UACGGAGGGGCUAGCGUUGUUCGGAAUUACUGGGCGUAAAGCGCGCGUAGGCGGACCUGCAAGUCGGGGGUGAAAGCCCGAGGCUCAACCUCGGAACUGCCUUCGAUACUGCGGGUCUCGAGUCCGGGAGAGGUGAGUGGAACUGCGAGUGUAGAGGUGAAAUUCGUAGAUAUUCGCAAGAACACCAGUGGCGAAGGCGGCUCACUGGUCCGGUACUGACGCUGAGGUGCGAAAGCGUGGGGAGCAAACAGGG
rnacentral:rRNA from 1 species